GUUGUCAAAAGUCUUCCAUGUCUUAAGGAGGUGGACUGCUCAGGAUUGUGACCAGGCCUGUAGCUACCUCUAAAAUGAGGCCCUCCAGGGCACCUUGCUACUCAGGUCUGGGAAACAGGGGCACAGAAGGAUGGAUUCCCCCAGUAGUUGAGCUGGCCCAUCAGCAGAGAGAAGAGCCUCACCGGCACCCUUCCCUGAGAGCUGUGCUGCUUUCUCCCUUGCUGCUAUCUUCUAGGUCUCUGCGUGGAACUUACAGAGGGCAGAGAAAUUCUCUUCACUGCGCAGGGUGAGAAGAUGAGGCUUGGUGUUCAUGUGCCUGGGACUCACGCUGAGCACAGUGCCAACCUCCUGAAGGAGGCUUCCUGGCGGUGUCAGAGGGAGCCCCGGAGCCCCAUGGUGCAUGCACAGUAGGCUGCAAGCCAAGUCCAAGCUCAAAGCCAUGGCCUUCAAGCACAUCCUGGGAAGGGCCAGAGAUAAGUAUUUCAGGCUCCAUGGGCUUGAUGCACCUGCUGUUCUCACGCUGCAGCUAACUGUGAAACUUGGAGCCGAUCGUCACUUCCUGGGCAAUUUCUACCCUGGAUCCACCCUCAGGGUUCACCUGCCACACGGUUACGUACCCUCCCCCCACUGGUGGGCCGCGAGCUUAGGUCUCUUCAGGACAAGUGGGAUUUUCAACCGGAUGAGAUUCCUCAUUCAACAGCUCCCCCUCCCCCAGUCACUGAGACCCAGGGACCUUUGGGCACCAGGUGCAAAUCCCAAUUGUGUACACAGCAGAUGAAUAAAAGC
rnacentral:lncRNA from 1 species